AUGCAGUCGACGAGAAGUGGAGCGAUCCAUGAGUACAGUGGCGUACGGGUGAGUAACACGUGGGUGAUCUACCUUUUAGUGUGGAAUAACUCUGGGAAACCGGAGCUAAUACCGUAUAAGCUCGAGAGAGGAAAGUCGAAAGACGCUGAAAGAGGAGCCCGCGGCCGAUUAGCUAGUUGGCAGGGUAAAAGCCUACCAAGGCAUAGAUUGGUAGCCGGCCUGAGAGGGCACACGGCCACACUGGCACUGAAACACGGGCCAGACUCCUACGGGAGGCAGCAGUGGGGAAUCUUGCACAAUGGGGGAAACCCUGAUGCAGCGACGCCGCGUGAGCGAUGAAGCCCUUCGGGGUGUAAAGCUCUUUCGGCAGGGAAGAUAGUGACGGUACCUGCAGAAGCAGCUGCGGCUAACUACGUGCCAGCAGCCGCGGUAAUACGUAGGCAGCGAGCGUUGUUCGGAGUUACUGGGCGUAAAGGGUGUGUAGGCGGUUGUUUAAGUUUGGUGUGAAAUCUCCCGGCUCAACUGGGAGGGUGCGCCGAAUACUGAGCGACUAGAGUGCGGGAGAGGAAAGUGGAAUUCCUGGUGUAGCGGUGAAAUGCGUAGAUAUCAGGAGGAACACCGGUGGUGUAGACGGCUUUCUGGACCGUAACUGACGCUGAGACACGAAAGCGUGGGUAGCAAACAGGAUUAGAUACCCUGGUAGUCCACGCCCUAAACGAUGCAUAUUUGGUGUGGGCAGUUCAUUCUGUCCGUGCCGGAGCUAACGCGUUAAAUAUGCCGCCUGGGGAGUACAGUCGCAAGGCUGAAACUCAAAGGAAUUGACGGGGGCCCGCACAAGCGGUGGAGCAUGUGGUUCAAUUCGACGCAACGCGAAGAACCUUACCUGGGCUCGAACGGCUUCUCAACGUCUGUGGAAACAUGGAUACCCCGCAACGGGGGUGGUAGUCGAGGUGCUGCAUGGCUGUCGUCAGCUCGUGUCGUGAGAUGUUGGGUUAAGUCCCGCAACGAGCGC
rnacentral:rRNA from 1 species